GUAGUAGGAAUUGGUAGCACUCGAAUGGACAGCUUCGUUAAUAUGCUAUUACAGGUUGUCUAUAUAUCAUUCUGUGGUACGGAUGGAAAAAGUAAUAGAAACAAACGGAGAAACAUAUAUUCACCUUGUGCCAAUUGUUGCGCGCCGUUGAAAGAACUAACAAGACUAAUGAAGAAUGUUUUAGUAAUGUCCACUUUGGCAUCGACAAUCCGAGCCUAAUCUAGAUGCUUGUCUGAAUUGGCGAAUUCUAAGAAUUCAUUCAUCAGUUAAGUGCUGAGGAAAGGAGAAAGAAUUAAUGCGAUGGUCAUUUAUAUGGUGAUACUCGGCACGGGAGCACGUGGGCCACGAUGAGACAAUUAUGUAACUUAACAGGACACGUUUGAAGCUUAUGCCGAAACUUCAUUUCUAAUAAUUGGUGGGGGCACCGACGGAAGUUAAAGUAACGACACUAAAGUCCGGGCGCUAAAGAUAACACUGCUAUAAAUGACUAUAUUCUUGUAAAUAUUCUGUCUUUGCGUUUGUUUCGUGUUUCCGCAAGUUGAUCUAAGCGUUUUACUAUGAAUCAGAGAUACUGUAAGAUUUUCUAUAUCUUUCUCUUAAUCUGAAGUACGACUGCUUGAGGUUUCGUACUUCGUUAUCAACAGAAUAUCAAUCCUUACCUAGCCAGGAUGUCACGUGCUAUCAUAUACAAAGUAGUAGUGUGCGAUUUCACGCGACGCGAUAGUAAUGUGUUUCUAUCUUAACGCAUAGUGAAAGAGGAUUAAAGAACAAUGAGAAGAGUAUUAAUUAAGAGCAUAUGUUUAUUGACAUUACUCUUGAAAUGUAUAACAAUAUUACCGUAUGAUACAUCGCGCAUAUUACGUUGAUUGUAGACGCGAGUCGUCGGUAAACUGUUUCUCGCAAAUACAUCACUGCAAUAUGUUGUGUACUCAAGGGAAUUAAAAUUUAGAAACGAUCAUUUCGUUUGACUUUGACAAAUCUUACAUAUUAUCAUACACUGAUCAAAAGUGAUGUAUAAAAAUGCACACUGAUGUCCCAUUUCGGUUUCUGAUUUCGUUGAGUCGACUUACAAAGGAAAACAUGUUGCAAGUACUUUGUUCAGAAUUGGCUACUUGGCAGACCGUAUUCGCACAUUAAAUUCGUUACUAUUCGAUUCGUACGCUUUCUCAUAUGUAAACGUAUAUACGGCAUAACAGUUACAGUGACACGAAUGACGCGAUCGACGCAGGCAUUAUGUAUACUUAUCCGUGCAACGGAGCAUUCGUUAGGCAAAUUAUUAUUACAUGUUCAGGGAGAAUCUAACGUGCGACGAUAUUCACGAAAUGUUUCAACUGCAACUAGCAGCUUUGGUCUUUGUCACUGAGAGACACUGGACAGUGUUGGUUGGGAGCAA